UCUCAAUGUAAGUCAAUGGGACUUUGGCCUUUUUGCAACCCAGUGGUACUUCCUAUAUGGAACACGAAAGUAGGGGGGCUUGCUCUGUCCAGUUCUUCUUAUAUACAGUCAAUGCUGAGAGCAGCUCAAAGAGGCUUAGUGUGCUCUGCUGCCAACUAGUGGUCGGAGGUGGAAAUGGAAAACAGAAGCAAUAGUGAAGGAUGCUCAUAAAUAAUUAAAUAAACAUCGUCAUGGCAACAUUUUAGAUCGAUGCAAGUAUCGCCAAAUGAAAUAUCGAGCUAUAUCACCGAAUCUAUUUUUUCCUACACCUCUAUUGUGCACCCACCCAACUAGCUGUAUCACACCCCUUUUACUAUGAAUAUCUGUGUGUAGUUUCAGUUGGUAGAUGAAACUAUCACAUCAAUGAAAGAUGUGAGUUCAAGUACCAUUGGUGCAGAAGUCAACAACAUAACCAUUUACAGUGAAUUUGGUGGAAUUCCACAUUUGUUAGACUCACAGUAACUCUUAACUCUUUUGUGUAACAUGCUAGAAGCAUUAGUGUUUUCACAAUACCUUUGACUCCCAACCUUAUUUGCAACACAUAGAGAGAGAGAGAGAGAGAGAGAGAGAGAGAGAGAGAGAGAGAGAGAGAGAGAGAGAAAGGCUGAUAUUGUUAAACCCAACGUUACUGGGAGGUAUCUGCUUUUUCUGCCCCUAUGUUUUUGCCUUUGGCUUGCAGAUUUUGGAUUUGUUUUCCUUCUCUCUUAGAUUGCUUUGAAUGAAUGAGCCUCUGCCUCCCCAGACUGGAUUCCUUCUCCUCUCAUGAUGUCUCCAGUACGCUUCUUCUCCAGUAGAAUCUCUGUAUUUUGUUACAAAGUAAAAAAACGUAAAAAACAUAACUUUGCAAAAUAUAUUGGACUCUAUGUUAAAACUGCUUUAGUGUGUAACGUAUUCAGAAGAAGCUUUAGAAUUGCCAAUUUUUUUGCAUUUCUUCAAUUAACAAACAGUAUUUUUUUUAAAUAUUUUAAUUAGGGAUGUUAAGAUUAUUUAGUAUGUAUCAAAAAAUCAAUAUAGUUCUUAAAAAAUGGAAGUAUCAGUUGAAAAUUUCAAAUACGCUUGAGAUUCUGUUGGUAAAACUUUAUAAAACUGAUCUGGAAAGUAAACAACUGAUUUCUUUGAACUUCGUUUUUGUUCCUGUUUUGUUCUUUGUCGCUUCCUUGCUAUGUUACAAAAGCAAGAAGUUAUCCAAUCGCAAGCUUGCUUCCACCAGGUCAACUCAGUUACAACUGGCUGAAGUUAAACUACAGUGAGAGGUCGGGAUUAUGAGUGGAGAAAAAAAUCGAAGACAAAACGAUACACAGUCCGCCAGCUAACCUGCAUUCAAAAUUCUGGAAGUAAUGAAAAAAAAAAAUUAAAUAAAAUCAACUUUAUUUGUAAAAAGCACUUCUCAUACAUAAGUAACUCAAAGCACUUUAGAAUUAUAAAACAGAAACACAAAAGUUAAAAUAAGGACCCAACUCACCCCCCCCCGCCUCCAAUAGCACAUACAUCCCAUGACUCCACACACAAUGUAUACUUUUAAAAAUAACUUAUAAAAGAAAGUUUAGGCUUGGCUCUACUGUGAGGAAACAGUAUUUGGGAAUCUCUUUAUACCAGGGGCCAGCCUCGACAUGGAACAUAACCACAGCUCCCACCUUGAACAGACAGCAACGGGGUCCAUUCCACAACUGUGAGGCCGCAAUGCUGGACCCCAGCUGUAUCAGAUGGGCGAGCGCCACGGCAACGACCACUGUCAAGCUUACAAGCCCUGGAAUAAAGGAUCCCCACUGGAAACACUGGGGCUAAAAUCAUAAGAUUUUAAAAUGGGUGUAAUGUGUACCCACCCCCUGGUCCUCAUCAGAACUUGUCCUGCUGAGUUCUGCAAUAAUUGUAAUUUUGAAAGAGAUUUUUGAGGUAAACCAGAGAUCAGGGCUUUAUAAUAAUCUAAAUGACUAAAAAUAAAAGCAUGCAUCAGCACCUCUGUGGUGGCAAGAGAGAAGAAUGGGCGGACUCUGGCAAUAUUUUUAAGAUGAUAAAAUCCAGUCUUAACAACAUUUAUAAUGUGAGGGAUAAAAUUCAGCUAAGAUCGCCCAGGUUUCUCACACAAUGAGAAGAGUUAAAAUGUUGAAAAUGUGGUAAAACCAGCUCUCUCGUCUUCAGGACUGAUGAUUAAAACGUCUGUUUUGUCAUGGUCGAGCUUUAAGAAGUUCUCUGCCAUCCAUGACUUUAUUUCUAAAAUACAAUUUACAAGAGUGUUUUUAGGUUCAAGGUCAUCAGGAGACACGGCGAUGUAAAGCUGUGUAUCAUCAGCAUAUCUGGGAAAGUCAACGCUGUGUCUUCUGAUGACAUCCCCAAGAGGCAACAUGUACAAAUUAAAAAGAAUGGGACCUAACAUUGACCCUUGGGGAACCCCACAACUUAUUUCACAGAUUCUUGAGGAGCUUGUGUCCAUACUUACAUAAAAGUGUUGUUCUGUAAGAUAGAAAUAAAACCACUUAAGAACAUUUCCAGAGAGGCCUACUAGACUCUUAAGUCUAUCUGGUGAUCUACUGUAUCAAAAGCAGCAGAAAGAUCCAGCAGCACCAGAAUAUGAAGUAUCUGGGAGUCUAAAUUAAUUCUAAAAUCAUUAAUGAUCUUUAAAAGAGCCAUCUCUGUACUGUGGUUCAUUCUAAAACCAGAUUGAAAUUCACCUAAAAUGGUUUGGGUAUUUAAAAACUCAUUGUCAUGGUGCACCUGUGCUCCUACUCCGCCUCCUAAUUGGACCCAGCUGUCGGCACUCAUCACCUCCACACCAGCCUACUUAAGAGGAGCCUUCCCCAGCAUUCUUCGCCAGUUCGUUACCUUACCCGGUCCUCAUCAUCCAUGUGCCGUCCUGGGUCCAGCUAAGCCUCUACUACUCUGCUACGCCAAACCCACUCCACGCCACGCACCAUCUGCUGAACUCACCUUGCCGCUCCAGCCCUGCACCGGUCUUCGCUCUCCAUCUCAAGUCUGCAGAUCCACUCCUAGUUCCGGCCGCUACUCCACUCCCCCAUGGACAAUAAAACCUUUCUAUAUCACUUCUGCCUCCCGUCAUCCUUCCGGGUUCCAGCGUCUGGGUCUGUCUCGUCACGUGAUCAUGACAGAACGAACUGGCCAUACUCCAGACCCAGCUGACCCGGAAGGUCUACGCCACGUUGUCAUUCAACAAGGCACCCUCCUGGAUCAUCAGUCCAGCGCUCUACAGCAACUCGCCCCAGCACAGCAGGACGUAUUUCUCCGGAUCGACAAUGUAUUGCAAGCUGUUAUGGAUCUAACGAGUCAGUUACCUAAAUUAGCGCUGUCUCCGACCCCGCCACUUCCGCAAACAGAAGCCGCAGCUACUGCCGCUUCCGCUACGUCACACGAAAACAUCCGCCUACAGCCGGAGGUCUUCCACGGGGAGGUUUCUGCUACAAUGCCAACUUAUUUUUCAGCAGGCACCAGGACACUACCGAACGGAUCACAGUAAGAUUACUCUAAUCGUUAACUCGCUCAGGGGCAGAGCCUUGCAGUGGGCCCAAGCCUAUCUGUUCGCCCACCCCAUUUCCGGUUUGCCCUUUGACCGCUUUUUAACAGAAUUUAGAAUAGUUUUUGACCAGCCUCGUAAGGAGGAUGAAGCAACGCGUCACCUACUGAGCCUCAACAAGGUAAACGCACCGUUGCAGACCACGUCAUAGACUUUCGUAUCCUGGCUGUUGAGGCAGGCUGGCCGGAUAAAGCGCUAAAAGGAAUUUUCUACCAAUCCCUAAAUGAAUCCAUCAAGGAUCAUUUAUGCUCACAACCUGAAGCCCGCUCAUUUAAAAAACUGGUGUCCGCUGCAUUACGCUCCGACGUUCGUUUAAGAGAAAGACGAGCAGAGAGACAUUCCCCCUCACGCAGAACUGUGCCUGAUCCCAGUUACCCUCUAACGUCACCUCUCUCCCACUCUCCAGUAAAGGAGCCCACACGGAGACCCGGCGAGGAACCCAUGCAGAUUGGGCACUCCAAACUCACUCCAGAGGAACGCCAGAAAAGGAGGGAUGAGCGAUCCUGCUUCUAUUGCGGCAAGUCUGAUCAUUAUGUUGCUCAAUGACCCCUUUCUUUAAAAGGCAGGACCCCCCGCUAGAAGACAGGUCGCGGGAGGGUUCCCAGGAAGUCUCCCCCUGCGGGAACUUCCUUAUUCUACCUGUCAAGAUUUGCCUACAGGCCAGAUGUCAUGAAACCCAAGUACUGGUGGAUUCAGGAGCGGAGCAAAGCUUCAUCGACCAAAACCUUGUGUCGCAGCUACACAUACCCACCGAACCGUUGAACUCGCCUGUCAAGGCCGCCAGUCUAGGGCAGGGGUCCACAACUGGCGGUCCGGGUCCGGACACCGAGACCCUUUUAUCCGGACCGCCAAGCAUUUUUAAUAAAAAAUAAGGUUUUUCAUUCAUCUUUACAUGGCGAUUUUUGAACAGGCACGCGCGAGGAUAGCUCCGUUCAGACCGGGGUCCUUCAACCGGCAAAAGUUCAGAGCGGUGAGCUACCGUAGUUGGGACGUAAAGUUAUCUGGAAUGUGCGUGAACAAUGGCUCUGUCUACAAUGAGAAAAGUGGACUGAAAAUGGUGUCUUUGGAGAUGAGUGGACCGAAGCUUUCACUUUUAUUUACCAGCAGUGAGUUCUACAGGCCGGUUUGUAUUAUAAACAUGGAGUCCGCUGGUUUUGUUAAGAACGCUGAUAUCGCAGCGCUAUGAGACAAAACACAAAACUUCUGACACAAAUUACCCGACAGAAUGAGUGACGUGGUCACGGAAAAUAUAUGAACUGAAAGUACAGUGUGAGCGUACAGACACUAACAGCACAACAACGAGCUCACGAGUGCUCACUACGAGUGGAAUGGAUUUGGACAAACACUAAAGUCACUGUGAAAUGAUUAAAGAGUGUAUGGAGGCAAAUACAGAAACAAUAUUAGAAGGAAAAGAGCUUUGCAGCUUCAAGCAAAGGUCCGACAGAUUCCCCUGUCGUCAAGAAGACGCUUUCCAGAGAUGUGCCGGGCUAGGAAGCUACACUGCUGCCAAUAUUAUUUGAAACCCAAAUAAGACAAAUGAAAAAAAAAAGUUUGUUUGGCAAAAAAAAAAAUUGAAUGUCAGAAAAUUCUUCCCAUUCUAAAAUUAACCUAUUUUCAGCUCAAAAAGUUUAUUUUUUUAGGGUUUCAAAACUGAAAAUUUAAAUUCAAUUUUUUUUAUUCGACUCUAUUUAUUUAUUUAUGUUCGUUUUCGAAUACAAAAAUUUCUGCUUCAAAACUUUUUGCCCCUUUGUGGUGGGUCUAACACAAAGGACCAAACCAAAUGGAUGAGUGUGGUAACUUCAGUCCUGGUGCAUUCACUGACUCUGCUAGAACAGAGUUUUGGACACGGUUUGUACGGGAUAAAACUCUGAUCUUUACAUCCGUCUUGGGACAACUUUAGAAUAUGAUAGAACAGACAAUACAGACAUUUUCUGAUCGUAAUUAUCACGGCUCUAGGAGUUAGUGAAGACACUGGGACUGAAGUUAUUCCUCUCAUUUAGUUUUGAUUGGCCCUUUGUGUUAGCCACAACAAGGCCAAAAGUUUUGAAACUAAAAUUUUUAUAUUAAAAAAAAA